CGCGAUCUUCAGUCCACAGUGAGACUGAGUCAGAAAAGGUGUUUCUGCAAAAAUGAGCAAGGAGAGUAAGUAGAAUUCUGCUUCCCUGUUCAAGCCACAGGAGAUACCAGCAAGGUAGUUCUCAUGGGACAGAGAUUAUCUCAUUGCUUUUGUUACAAAUAUCUGAGUGAUGCAAGAUGAAUGAUGGCAGAGAAACAUGAAGCCUGGAUUCUAGGGAUAGUUUGAUGUGUGUUUUGUAUUUCUUUAAGCCAAAGAAGGAUGCAAAUGCACGAACCUCCAGUGCGAAUUUAUUAUCCCCUCAAUGAGUUUUGUAUAUGAUGAGCAAUAUUUCAAAGUGAUGCUAUAAAUGUCUACUAAAUAGUUAAGAAAUUACCUAUGAAGCAUUUUUCUAUUAAAAUACGUCAAAACAUAAGCUGCAUGUGUACAGAACUAUGUGUUUAAGGCUUAGAGGUAUAUGAGUGAUGUACAGGCAAAGAGGUGCACCCUGAGUAUUGCUGCUUGCAAUGUGGUAGUUUCUUUGUUAAUUUUACAGAGCACGCAUGAGUGUGGCAUGCACAGUAACUUGUUUAAGUCAUAUGAAAACUGUUCAUGCAUCUCAGGUUGCUUUUUCGAGUAUGGACAAGAACAGACAGAUUUGGCCUUGAAAACAAAAUACCCCAGAAGGUAUUCUGAGGCAAACAUUUGGCUAGCAAAUCUAAAAUCUACAGUCAGACUUUACAGUGAAGCUUUUUGUAGCAACGCAAGGAGCACUGUUCGUUAUCUCUUCUGAAUGUUAGUGAUACCAUUGAUUCUGGCAAAAGAAGAACAUCCCUCUUUCAGGUCAAGCUGAUACUGAUAUAGAUACAGCUGUGGGAUCUGAAACAGAUUAAGCCCAGCUAGAUGAAUUUCAUAAAUAGUAAUACAAAACCAAUGCACACCUUAGGCUGAUAUUAAACAGAAGAUGAGCUGGUAUUCAUCUUAGAGUGAAUGCACUGUCAUGAAAUGGAAACAUCAGGUUUGACUUAAAAAACCCAGGUUUCCCAUAGGAGGCAGUUUAUUGAGUGACCAUUUAUUAAAGACAAAUGCUAUCAUUUGAAACAUAUCUCAUGAAGAGCAUGGCACUGGCUGAUUCAGAGGAAUAGUAGCUAGAGAUGGAGCUUUACAUUUCCAGCCAUUGAUUGGAACAGGUUCCAGCAUGUAAAGGAGUUUUGUGAUGAUAGCUGCCAGGUACCCAAACGUCCACAAAGAGCUCCAGCCUGCCUGCCACUCACAAAGAAUGCAAACCCGCAAGGUGCUGAGUGCCAUGACCUAGGUCAAAAAUGCUUAACUUUAAUAUACAUUUAACUGCAGACAGAAAGAUAAUCCAGUUAUCUCGAGUCAGACCAGUCAUAUGCUUAACGUAAGUACAUUUUGGAUAGGGGCCAUAGCCAUAGCAGAGGCUCCAAGGAAUGAUCAGGACUGAGGUGCUGAGCUCACCUCUGGGAAUCACCAGAAAUAACAGCUGGCUCCUGCAGGAUGCCUGCCAGUUUUGGAGAUGACGUUGUCUAAGGGAGAACAGGAUGAGAGGAUGCCAAAGGUUGCACUGAUUGCUGUCUUUGCCAUUUUUAGAUGGCCAGAAGUGAUGUCUGCCUGGGUCCCAGGUGUCCGGAGGAGGGACACCAGGGAGGAACGCCGGACGGGAACAUGGCCGAUAAGCCCAACUGCACUCACUUUCACACCUCUACAUAAAACUUCUCUCUUCCUUCCAACACUGGUCAGCAGUUCAGGUCUUGAAGACCUGGAAGAAGAUGCGGAUUCCUUAAGGGUGGAAAGCAGCUCUGGAGCAGGAGAGGUUCUGGGAUCUCUGUCACUAUUCAUCAUGCUCAGUGCUGUGGUAGAGAAGUUGUGAAGAGGUGUAGAGUCUCGGGAAAUUUGCCUAAGCCUCUGCCUGCAGCUUUGUGCUUCAUUCAGUCUGUGUAGAAGAAUCCUGUAAACCUCGCUGUUGUGACCAGGGUGGCAUCAGUCCCUGGGCCUGGCGAGCGCCCUGUUUCCAGUCUCGCUGGAGUACAGAGGAUGCUUUUCGAGACAACUAGCAAGUCUGGGUCUGAGGUAGAUGAAAGCUGAAGCCCAGUUCUGCAAUUUUACUUCUCUGAAAACAGAUAACUCCUAGGAACAGAGAAUAAGCUUUGUGUGCCCUUCGUUUCCAUGGGAAGGACCCUGUGCACAAGGUAAGUUUGCUAUAUCAUGUUGGCUCAUUGCAGUUUGCCUGGGCCAUUCUAGAGGCUUGCCACUCCUCCGUGUAAACUCUGACCUUCCCAUAAAAAGCCCAUAACCGAGACCCUUUGCCAUAUCUGUAACAGCUCCAAGCAGCAAGAGUCCACUGCAAAUAGUCUUGUUUUAACAAAAAAUGCCCUGAAUCAGCCCAUCCUUCCCUUAGCUAAAACCGGCAGAUGCUCCUGGCUCCUCUAGGACCAAUGGGAAAGCUCUCUGGUCCCUGAGGCAGUCUGGAUGAGAAAUCGCAUGCUGCUAAGGCAGGAAUAGCUGCAGACGAGGUGCGUCUCUGGUAGAGCCCCACGCAGUUCUCUAGGGCAAGACUUGUCCUGAAUUCCUGGCCUUGUUCCUGGGGCUGUGAGGCACACGGUCCGCACGGGGAGGGGCUGGAGGCUGCGAUAUGCAGGAGGUUGGAUGAGCACAAGGGAAUGGCCCUUUCUGGACUUGAUUAAGGCUGUACGUUUUUAACCAGUUAUAUGUUCUUUGCUGCCCUUUCAUUUGAGCAAGGGCCAAAAAGGUGGGAUCCAGAUUGCAGGAGUUUCCUUAGUGCCGCUUUCUGCUGGAUGGCUGCUGCUCUAGAUCCCUGCAGGCAAGUCACCUUGCCACCUCCCUGGCUUUAGAGACCACGGUUUCCCUGCAGCCACUGCUGUUUAUGGUGCUGCAGUUAUCACCCCACGACACCAAGCCAUGCUGCCAGCGAGGGAUGCAGGCUCAGAGAGCAGGAGGUUGCCAAGACACCUCACCAGAUGCAUAUUGUCUCUUUGUUCCUUUGAAAACCACAAAAAAGUUUCUCCCUUCACAGUUCAGUGAUGCCCAGACAAAGAUGACGUGAAAUCUGUGGAAAGACUUAUUUUAUUACAAUAUAGGAAUUCAUAGAACCAGAUGUUUAUACUUAGCUGUUGCUCCUCCAUAGGAACACCACUGCCCAUGCUCAGAGGAACUAUUUGCAAGAUUAUUUCGAAUGCUUUAAACGUGUCUGCUGCUGCUUGGGUCUCUAAAGCUGCUCUGAGUCAGGGCAGAUGCAACAGUGAAUCCUCUCUAUUACUGUGCCACAGGCCCCCGUGGAGUAAAGGCAGCUAGAGAUGCUGGGGACAUGCAGUGGAAAGGGCCAGCACCAUCUCCCUCUGGACAGCCAUGUUAGCAGCCCACAGUUCCCAGCCUGGAAACCACAUUGCCAUGUGGGAGGUAUUUAAUAAACCGUACCUAUAGGGGAGGUGUCCUCCUUCUGCAGCUGCCAGGGGACUUGCAAGAGCAGCCCUUGGCAAUGCCUGCCUGUUGCCUGGGGCAGCUCUGGGGUGUCUCCACACUGACACUCCGGGUCUUCCAGGGGUGCCGGCUUUCUGUAGUCCCAAACGAGUCCAAUGCUGCGCCUGGCUGUCUGGCUCUAUCCCCUGUCCCUCACCCUAGCUCCUCCAGCUGGGUUCAAAGGGGGCUGAAUCCCUGCCGGAGAGGCGUCCCUCGGGGGAGCCAUGCAGCCAGCAGCUGUUUUGCAGCAAUGCGGGAUGGCCUUUUCAAAGCCGGCCAGCGUCUGUUAGUCAACCAGAAUAAGCGUUUUAGGGUCCUUAGAUUGGAACAGAGAAGCAAGGCUUACACGCACGUCCAGGCUGGCAGCUUUACUUGUUUCCCCAGCAUCCAAAAUUUCAUCUUUUCCACCUUCAUGCUGCCAGAGUCCUUAUCCCUCUGCCCUGACACCUCCAGGUUUUAUUUCAAGCUGAACCACACUGCUUCCAUAUGUUCUGCUGCUGUUGGUCACUGGUUAUUAAAAGUCAGAGAGGGUUGUUGGUCUUCAUUGCCUCCAUUCAGAAGUUGGCAGUACUUAAAAAACUCAUUCAUCUUAGAUGUGCUUAGUGCCAAUUACCGUUCUCAUCCCAGAGGAUCAGUUAACUCUUUCUAUCCCAUUGGCUCACAGUACCGUGGUGAACAGAUAAGCUGUCACGCCUGUUUCUAACUGCAGAAAAUCAAGCACAUUCCCCAUGCUAGUCACAAGACACGCAGUGGUGGCUACCAGAAAAGAGGAACUGAUGCAACUCCCUGACGCCGGGAGGCACGCUAGCCUGUCACAGCUUAAGGUCUGACUCAGGGCUUGCUUUGAGUGCUGUGUUACCUCUCAUGGAUGGUGACGCUGGGAGAAGGACCCGGCUUCUUGUGAAUGAUAUCUAAUAGCAAAAAUGCAGAAGUGACAGGGAAUGGAAACAGCUGGUGGGAAUUCCUUAGUAAUGACCCAAACUAUCUACGUGUGGUAGAAUGCGAAAAUAGUAUUUCCCCAGCAGACCUUGUAAAAUUAACUUGUAAAAAUAUAAUUUUGAUCAUCACUUAUUGCCUUCCCACCCCAUAUUCCCGGCUGUUGGAAGAAGAAUUAGCAAACGUUUGCAGAGAACUUUCAGAACACAUUCACUGAUUUGCAAAAGGCUUUGCUCAUGAAUACAAAAUAGUAGUUAACUACCUGAGAAGGUGCAACACACACUGGAUUUGCCUAUCCUCGAUGCACGGUGCAGGCUGCUCAGUUAGUCACGGACAUUGUUUAACAAAAUGCAAUCAAAGGCUCUGAAUUACCCCUGGACAGGAAAAAAUCCAAAGCACAUAGACUUAAAUAAUCAGGAAAAAGUGAGCAGAAGGUUUGUGACCCCUCAAAAUAGAAAAAUUGCAAAUCCUUCCUCUCCAGAAGGUUUCCCCAGGUCUGCAAUUCAUAGCAUAUAGUAAAAAACUGUUUUUUACGCAAGAUCAACUCUGGAGUGAAAUACAGAAAUGUACAAAGAAAUCUCAAUUUGCCAUCUGGCUCUAACGUUCGCAAAGCUCAUAGCCAUUUAUCUCUGUCCAAAAGUGUGCUUUAAAGAUGCAGUAGGAAUCUUCCUCUGCAGAGAGUUUUAUGAGUGUAUGCUUGGCCUUCAGACAUGCUAAACUAAACACCAAAGCCUACGGGAAGUACAUAAACACUAAAGAACAAACAAGCUUGCUUCAUACCUGAAAUGAGGCUUGAUUUUGGAUGCAGAAAUGUGUUUAUUUUCUUGGAAAGAAACAGGCGUUUCAGCUGUUACAGAUUUUCUCAAGGGAAUAAUUUUUCUAGCAAACCUUGUUCCUUCUGUAAUCCUUUGUAACAACUCACCGACUCAUGCUGUCCUAGCUUUAAAAAUACAUUUUCAAAGCCCAUUAGCAAAUUCACAGGUUUUUUUAUACACUAAGAAUUAAAGUGGAAACAUAAGACCCAGCAAAUUAUUUUCACUUUAUAUACAGUCUCUCUAGUAAACAAGUGUUGCAAAAGUCUGUGUGCUGUCGGCAGAGCACUGAGGGAUGAAGAACAGAAUGCGGUCACAUGUGGUUUUAUUCAGUGAGUUAUUUAUAUAAAUCUGAAGUAUAGUAAGAGGCUCCCAGCUCUGCAGCCAGUGCAGACGGUGCUCCUUGGCUUUUUGACUAUGUCUACAUAGACACUCUUGAGCUCCAAAUGCCUCGCUUUGGCACACCACAUUUCAGUUGGGAUGUUUAUUUCCAGAACUUGAGCCCUGAUCCUCCGGGAAUCCUGGGCCCGCUUCAAGACCAGAGUCCUGGUGCUCCGCUCAGAGCCUGGUCGGGGCUGGGCAGUAGCCACAGUGUCCACCUCCUUGUCCAAACGCUUGUCUUUGCUUCUAGAGAUUUUCAAAAACACUGCAACUUUUUUGGUGGUCUCAUUUCUUCUGUGUCCCAUGACAAUGAUCAUUUCCUCCUCUGCCUGCUCAAAGCAACCCUUAAAAAAGCAAAUGCUUUCUGUUUCCCCAUAUGCCCUCGGCCCCGCAGGUUCCCAGGUGCACAGUGAGAAAGGUGCCUGCUAGGUGAAUGGAGACCACAGCAUGGGCACAGACUUGACAUUCAUGAGGCAGGAGAUAGACCAUGCUGCUGCUCGCCUCUACUCCAAAUGCUCUCACUGAGGCCAGGCCUGCAUCAGCAUAACUAAACAAACACGUAUUUUGUAAGCGAGGAUGAGGAAGAUGUCUGUGCUAAUCCAUGCUUCCAUAAGUUCAGUGUCAAGGGGACAGCACUGUGAGCCACGGCUGCAAGGAGGAAGGAGCAAGUGCCAGGGAAGGCUGGAGGACCAGCUGUGGGGGAUCUGGCAAAGCAGGUGUGAAGGCCCUGGCAAACAGAGCACAUGGUAAGCCAAAAGCAUCCUGCCCCUUACGCAUACCUCCUGGCUUGGUAAUGCUGUGCCUCUCUCUGGGUGAGAGCUCCUGCCUUCGCAGUGGCAGGACCGACUAUGCAACAUUGCAGACUAGUGGUACAAGAGAAGAUCGGCUGGUAGGUGUCGCAUGGACUGAAGAAGGCCAGAUGAGAUUUGAACAAACCCACGGUCUUCAUAAAAUAUCUGAUCUGCUCACCCUAAAGAAAUGUUUUUAAUCUUGCUGGCAUUAAAGAUUAUAGCCAGUCAUUCUAUAGGCAGGUGAAUGGAAUUCUUUAUUGUGGCUAUUUGGUUAUAUCUUGAAUAGCACUAAGGAUUAUCUUCCAGAUUUCUGCAUCUCAGUCGGAGCCCCUAACAUGUGUUUAUAAUUUUCCUCUCCCUUUCAGGCAAUGCCAGCAAUCUCCUGAAGUUCUUAACCGGAACCUGUGAAAUUUAAUGGUUGGCCAGUGUAUCUGAUAUACUCUUCUAAAAUAGCGUUUCAAGUGUGCAUCUCGUAAUGAUUUAUGAUUUUUUCUCCAGCAAAAUAUCCACUAUAUUUUAUCACUAGUAUUUUUCAUGUGUUCUUUAUCAGAAAUGAAGGUCAGACCAGUGAUGCUUCUAUGAAAUUUCCAAGGAAGAGCAGUAGGUGGCUGGCUUGGAUUUCUUUAGCUUAAUUUUUCAAAUUUAAAAGGCAAAAGCUUCAUUAUGGCACUGACUAAUAAAGGCCUAGGGCCAGCCAAGUUCUGUUCCUUGACCUAAGUGCUGAAGUCAGUGCAGUUGUAGACACAUAAAUUAAAGCAGAAUUUGACUUGUCUACUGUGUAGAUGUUAUCACAUGGGGAAAAUUGCACAAAAAUAGCAUGAGUAACUCCUAGGGCGUUGUGUACAUACCCCUCGAAUACCAACUCUAAUGGCCAAACCUCAUUCUUCAUGUGACAUAAAGGUGGUCAUCACAAGGGUGAGAAGUUGUUAUGUCCUUUUUAGAAGAAAAGAUGUUUUCCUACAUUCCUCUGUGUUGCGUAUUUGUGUAACUGGAAUAGAGCAUCUCUUGGGAAGAAUGGCCAAGCAAUCCACCCCCACCUCGGUCCCAUCCCACAGGAUGACAGAGCAGAGCAGGGUGCAGACUCCAGCAGUCAUGGGCACGCGGUGCUUGCCGCACGAUGCUAGGCUGUCCCAGCCCACCAGCUCCCAUCUGCACCCCACACGCCCGGAGACAUCCUACCCCGCGGGCCAGCCUCGGCAGGGCCAAGCCCGACCCGUGCUCCGGCUGUGCUGCCGGCACAGGGACUCCGUGCUGCAUUCCUCUGCCAUCAGCUCAGAUGUG